GAACACGGAUGAGGUCACAGGCAUGUCCAAUCUCAGCAUUGGCGAGCAUGUUGCUGGCCGCAUGGAACCAUCUGCUCUCUCUCUCAAGCUGCUAGGAGCCUCCACUUCAAGGCAGUCGGCCUUCCACCUGAAUCCAUCAAGCACUCGGCCUGAUCUUAACCAGAGUAGCAGCAAUGCAAUCCAUGCAGUUUAGGAAGAAAUUCAUGAGGAGUGGGAUCUAUCCGCAUUAUAUGUAUUCUUUCUCUUAUGUUACUGUUAAUUUAAUCUUCUUAUACAUUCAGGAUCGUUUCAUUCAUGUAUCAACCGCCAGUCGCAUCCAUAGUUUCAUGUUUUGGUUUGUAGCUGGACAGAAACUCGCAUUGAAUAAAUGACAUCCUUUGCUGCUAUUGGCACGGUGUCAAAUGCUGCCAGCUUUAAAUCUUGGUCAAAAUCAAGGACCUGAGCUUGCUAAACCCUUACCAAAUAACCCUCCUCAGGACCUCAAUGAAGGCAUACCAUGCAGCAACACACCGGUGCCAGUGUUCCCAUCGUUCUACCCUGCAUUCGUUCCUUUUCCAUACACAUUCUGGCCACCAGAUCUUGAUGCCUCUGCAACAGAAGAAGAGAUGGGUGAGACCCAUGAGAUCGUAAAGCCUAUGCCAGUCAUUCCCCCCAAGGAGCCGGUGAACACGGAUGAGGUCACAGGCAUGUCCAAUCUCAGCAUUGGCGAGCAUGUUGCUGGCCGCAUGGAACCAUCUGCUCUCUCUCUCAAGCUGCUAGGAGCCUCCACUUCAAGGCAGUCGGCCUUCCACCUGAAUCCAUCAAGCACUCGGCCUGAUCUUAACCAGAGUAGCAGCAAUGCAAUCCAUGCAGUUUAGGAAGAAAUUCAUGAGGAGUGGGAUCUAUCCGCAU
rnacentral:lncRNA from 1 species